AGAGUUUGAUCCUGGCUCAGAACGAACGCUGGCGGCAGGCCUAACACAUGCAAGUCGAGCGCACCUUUUGAACUUCGGUUCACUGGGCGAGCGGCGGACGGGUUAGUAACGCGUGGGAACGUACCCUUCUCUACGGAAUAGCCAUUGGAAACGAUGAGUAAUACCGUAUACGCCCUUUGGGGGAAAGAUUUAUCGGAGAAGGAUCGGCCCGCGUAAGAUUAGAUAGUUGGUGGGGUAACGGCCUACCAAGUCUACGAUCUUUAGCUGGUUUUAGAGGAUGAUCAGCAACACUGGGACUGAGACACGGCCCAGACUCCUACGGGAGGCAGCAGUGGGGAAUCUUGGACAAUGGGCGCAAGCCUGAUCCAGCCAUGCCGCGUGUGUGAUGAAGGCCCUAGGGUCGUAAAGCACUUUCGCCAGAGAUGAUAAUGACAGUAUCUGGUAAAGAAGUCCCGGCUAACUCCGUGCCAGCAGCCGCGGUAAUACGGAGGGGACUAGCGUUGUUCGGAAUUACUGGGCGUAAAGCGUACGUAGGCGGAUCAGAAAGUAUGGGGUGAAAUCCCAGGGCUCAACCCUGGAACUGCCUCAUAAACUCCUGGUCUUGAGUUCGAGAGAGGUGAGUGGAAUUCCGAGUGUAGAGGUGAAAUUCGUAGAUAUUCGGAGGAACACCAGUGGCGAAGGCGGCUCACUGGCUCGAUA
rnacentral:rRNA from 1 species